rnacentral:rRNA from 1 species
UACGAAGGGGGCUAGCGUUGCUCGGAAUCACUGGGCGUAAAGCGCACGUAGGCGGCUUUCUAAGUCAGGGGUGAAAUCCUGGAGCUCAACUCCAGAACUGCCUUUGAUACUGGAGAGCUUGAGUCCGGAAGAGGUGAGUGGAACUCCGAGUGUAGAGGUGAAAUUCGUAGAUAUUCGGAAGAACACCAGUGGCGAAGGCGACUCACUGGCCCGUUACUGACGCUGAGGCGCGAAAGCGUGGGGAGCAAACAGG